UGACAUUGCCUCGAUGGAGCGC
rnacentral:sRNA from 1 species